UACGGGGGGGGCAAGCGUUGUUCGGAAUUACUGGGCGUAAAGGGCUCGUAGGCGGCCAACUAAGUCAGACGUGAAAUCCCUCGGCUUAACCGGGGAACUGCGUCUGAUACUGGAUGGCUUGAGUUUGGGAGAGGGAUGCGGAAUUCCAGGUGUAGCGGUGAAAUGCGCAGAUAUCGGGAGGAACACCAAUGGCGAAGGCAGCUCGCUGGGACGGUACUGACGCUGAGACGCGAAAGCGUGGGGAGCAAACAGG
rnacentral:rRNA from 1 species